rnacentral:misc_RNA from 1 species
GUGAAUCAUCAAAUUUUUGAACGCAAAUUGCACUCUCUUGGGAGAGUAUGCCUGUUUGAGGGUCAGUAUUAAUAAAAAUCGGUGUGUUGCUUCUUUGUGAUGAUCCGGAGUUUGGGUCUUUGUAAUAUUUUUUAGGUUUUAAGAGGUUUAAAAUUGACUUUUUUUGUGGAUUUUAGAUGUACAGAUAUUUUUUUUUUUAUUGGUUGGUCUUAAGGCUCA